CAACUUUCUUAGUUAAAAAGAUAUAUUUAAUAAACCGAUAUAUACGACUCGUUAAAAGGUCUUUUUUUCUAGCAAUGAAUCUCAAGGUGUCAUUUUCAUCGUAGAGGCCUUGGAUAACUUUAACAUGUGCUUUUCAAUAGAGUUCUUAUAUAUAUAUUUAACUACUAGUAUGCUGUAUUCAUUGUUGUAAUGCACUGAAAUAUG
rnacentral:lncRNA from 1 species